AUGCUUGAAUUUCACCACGCCUCCAGUCCGGGGGUCGACGCCUCCAGUCCGGGGGUCGACGCCUCCAGUCCGGGGGUCGACGCCUCCAGUCCAAGGGUCCACGCCUCCAGUCCAAGGGUCCACGCCUCCAGGCCAAGGGUCCACGCCUCCAGUCUCGAAGUCGACGCCGCCAGUCUCAAAGUCAACGCCGCCAGUCUCGAAGUCGACGCCUCCAGUCUCGAAAUUGACGCCUCCAGUCUCGAAGUCGACGCCCCCAGGCCAGAAGUCGAUGCCCCCAGGCCAGAAGUCGACGCCCCCAGGCCAGAAGUCGACGCCCCCAGGCCAGAAGUCGACGCCCCCAGGCCAGAAGUCGACGCCUCCAGGCCAGAAGUCGACGCCUCCUCGUGUUCUGAAGUCGACGCCUCCUCGUGUCCUGAAGUCGACGCCUCCUCGUGUCCUGAAAGCGACGCCUCCUCGUGUCCUGGAGUCGACGCCUCCUCGUGUCCUGGAGUCGACGCCUCCUCGUGUCCUGGAGUCGACGCUCUCUCUAGUCCAGAGGUCGACGCUCUCGCCCGUCCAGAGGUCGACGCUCUCUCCCGUCCAGAGGUUGACGCUCUCUUCCAUCCAGAGGUCGACGCUCUCUCCCGUCCAGAGGUCGACACUCUCUCCAGUCCAGAGGUCAACGCUCUCUCCAGUCCAGAGGUCGACGCUCUCUCCAGUCCAGAGGUCGAUGCUCCCUCGCGUCCAGAGGUCGACGCUCCCUCCAGUCCAACGUCUCCGCCGUCUCCAGUCCCAUGGUCGACGCCGCCGCCUCCAGCCCGGAGGCCGCCGCCGCCUCCAGUCCAGAAGUCAAGGACAUCUCCUCCGGGGUCUCUGCCUCCGGUCACCGCCAGUCCUGCCCUCAUCAGGCGCGGCCCCCCAAGAGCCUGUUGUCACCGCCUCCUCCUCUGCCACAGACGCAGGCCCCCAAGAGCCCGUCGUAACCACCUCCUCCUCUGUCACAGACGCAGGCCCCCAAGAGCCCGUCGUCACCGCCUCUUCUGCCACAGGCGCAGGCCCCCAAGAGCCCGUUGUCACCACCUCCUCCUCUGCCACAGACAGGCCCCCAAGAGCCCGUCGUCGCCGCCUCCUCUGCCACAGGCGCAGACCCCCAAGAGUCUGUCGUUGCCACCUCCUCUGCCCUAG
rnacentral:lncRNA from 1 species